CCUACGGGUGGCAGCAGUGAGGAAUAUUGGUCAAUGGACGAGAGUCUGAACCAGCCAAGUAGCGUGAAGGAUGACUGCCCUAUGGGUUGUAAACUUCUUUUAUAAAGGAAUAAAACGAGGCACGUGUGCCUUUUUGCAUGUACUUUAUGAAUAAGGAUCGGCUAACUCCGUGCCAGCAGCCGCGGUAAUACGGAGGAUCCGAGCGUUAUCCGGAUUUAUUUGGUUUAAAGGGAGCGUAGAUGGGUUGUUAAGUCAGUUGUGAAAGUUUGCGGCUCAACCGUAAAAGUGCAAGUGAUACUGGCAGUCUUGAGUACAGUUGAGGUAGGCGGAAUUCGUGGUGUAGCGGUGAAAUGCUUAGAUAUCACGAAGAACCCCGAUUGCGAAGGCAGCUUACUAAACUGUGACUGACAUUGAUGCUCGAAAGUGUGGGUAUCAAACAGGAUUAGAUACCCUUGUAGUC
rnacentral:rRNA from 1 species